UAAAGCACAUCAUAUAUGUAGUAUAGGUUGUUGGGGCAAUUCUGCAGUACCAAUAGGCUAUUUGGUAUCUGGCGAUAGUAUGUUCACUUGAUGGUAUAAUAGAUAAGGAAAAAUUAUCAACACUACCAAAAAUAAUAACAUGCAGAAAGCAUCUCCACAACACUUGUGCUUACAGGGACCUAAAUGGAACCGUCCUCCACAUUGAUGGCAAAACCGAACACCGCAUUUGCAUUUGAUAUCUCUGCAACCACUAACUCGCUCAACAGAGUGACCACAAUUAUAACAUCUAGUCCACUUCUUCUCUUCUAUAAGUUCCCCAAUAAGAAUGUCAUUAGUAUCUCUCAACUGUCCACUUUCAUUGCACUGAUAUCCAGCAUGCCAUGGAAUCUUGCACCGAAAACAGAAGUUCUUCUUGCAGUUAGGACACUUUAUUUUCUUCAGUUUAUCCUUGCACUCAUUCAAAACCAAAGCUGAGCAAUCUCGAUAAGGACAAUAGCACCUUUCAAACCUCAAGACCGUGGAAUCACAUAGAAGAUCACACCACUGAUCAAACAGUGACUUUGAGACAAUAGACCUGCAUGAGAGCGGGUCCAGUGCAUGGUUGCAGUUCAGUCCAGGGCAUUCAAUGUUUCCAGUGACGUCUUCAACUUUUAUUGUAAUAUACUUGGAUAUGCAGUCCAAGCAGAAAGGAUGACUGCACAAGCCACCAUUCUUAAAUUUCCUGUUUGAUUCCAUGGGUUCAAUGCAUAUAUCACAUGUGAAAUUUGAAACUUCUUCAUGUUGUUCAUGUUCUUCAACUAUGUCUGUUUCUUGUGGCUUUUGUAGUUUAUUUCCCAUUCUAUGAUCUGCCCUCUGCUUACAAAGUUCAAACCAGCUUCUUGAGCUAGCCUCUCCACUUCUGAGUUAGCCUAUCCUAGGGUGAUAUGACAAUCUCCCAGCUUUAGUGCUGCAGAGAGAAAAUUUCAAAUUUUUUCUUCCUUAGUUUUCUGGGGAAUCAAACAGAAAAUAGGAACAAUAAAAUUAUAUAUUUAUGAUUCUGUUGCUAGGAAAAAAAAGAGGGAUGAGCAGGUGAGAUGACGAGGGAGGUGGGGUGCAGAUUGUAGAGUGUAACUUACUGUGG
rnacentral:misc_RNA from 1 species